rnacentral:rRNA from 1 species
AUCUAAGCAUGAAGCCCCCCCUCAAGAUGAGAUUUCCCAACUUCGGUUAUAAGAUCCCUCAAAGAUGAUGAGGUUAAUAGGUUCGAGGUGGAAGCGUGGUGACACGUGGAGCUGACGAAUACUAAUCGAUCGAAGACUUAAUCAAAA